AUGGGUGUUUUGAUCACGCUGUGUUUCACCAUGAAUGUUGCUGUAUCACCGAUGGCCAGUGAGGCUUCUUCCCCUAUGAUAACCUCUGUGACUCCCACCCUAGAACCCGGCCCCAAUAAACAUGAUGAUCCGUACCAAAAACCCCCUCCUCUCCACACAGGGGCCGAUUGGAAGGUGGUUCUGCAUCUGCCGGAGAUCGAGACCUGGCUGAGGACCACGACAGAGAGAGUCAGAGACCUCACACACUCUGUGCAGCAAGACAGCAUCAAUAGACAUGUGGAUGUGCACCUGGUACAACUCAAGGACAUCUGUGAAGACAUAUCCGAUCAUGUCGAGCAGAUCCACGCACUGUUGGAGACAGAGUUCUCCCUGAAGCUCCUGUCCUACUCCGUGAACAUCAUAGUGGACAUCCGGAGCGUGCAGCUCCUCUGGCACCAGUUGCGAGUGUCCGUGUUGGUUCUGAAAGAGAGGCUUCUCCAGGGCCUCCAGGACUCCAACGGCAACUACACCCGCCAGACUGACAUACUGCAAGCCUUCAGCCAGGAUCACGAUGAGGCUCGGCUGGACGCUUUGACAGAAGUGGACGACUCUGGUCAACUGACCAUUAAAUGCAGUAAGGACUACUUCUCCUUGGACUGCGGCAUCACUGCUUAUGAACUGAGCGACUACAGCCCUAUUGACGACCCCGAAGGUCGAGGGCCACGCUCCCUUUAUCCCGAGUUGGAGCAAGACUUUCCAGAACUGCUUCAGAGUGUGGAUCUCCUCAACAUUGCAGCCUCUAGACAAAACCAGGUGUCAUCUCCACCUGCAGAAGAGUCUGUUACCCCCACCCAGGAACCUCAAGAGACAAUCAGUGGUCCCACUAAAGAAGAAAGUGCACCUGAUUCAGCAAUGCAGGGAGACAGUGGCUUUGGCCUUUCCAAACGCCCUCUUCAAGGUGGCUUUAAGAGUGAUGUCUCUCCCACACAGCCUCUGCCUAAAAAGCCCAUGUAUCUGAGGGGUGAUGGGGACACAAGGUGCACUAGGUCUUCGCCUCUCCAGUACCAAGCUGACUUGAGCAGAAGCACACCCUCCCUUCUGGAUACACCAGAUCGCUCCAAGUUCUGGCUGGAGCUGGAAUCAGUUUAUCCAGGCAAUGGGAGUCAGUCCUACGAGAGUCUCCAUGCCGUGAAUGGAGGGAUCUUGCAGAUGAGUCUCAAGAGACCUUCUGUGUCCACUGAAGUUCCUCUGGAGAGACACUCAGCAGAGGCUGUGCAGGGAUUCCACACGCAGAAGCACUUGACAAACUUCAAGACUAUGCACUCCAAAGCCAAGCAGGCUUACAGUGACUCUUCCAACCAGCGGGAAAUGUCAUCCAGCCCAGACGAUCAAGCUCCCACCACAGGUUCUCUCUGGAUCGUGAACCAGAAUGGUUUGUGCGUCUCCAACGCAUCGGGGAGCUCCAAAGAACACUGGUAUGGUUCGGAUGAGUUCCUCGCUCUUCCCGCCCAGCUGAAAAAGACAGAGAUGUUGGCAUUGAAGCUGGAAAGCCUUGCUCAGGUUUUACCACAAAGGGGCCUGGAGGAGUCCAUUCAGGAUGUGGAUGACUGGGAGCUCACUGAGGCCAACCCUGAUUGGGAGAGCAGCAGUGAUCUCCUUUUGCUUCACCCCUAUAAGAAGCCCUCCCGAGCCGGCCGCUUUUCACCUACCUCCUCGAGUGACGUGGCACCUUCCCUGGAUGACAGCAUCGAGUCUGGCCCACUCAGCGACCUGUUGUCUGAGGAUGAUGGGGCGCGAAGCACACCAGAAUCCAGGGGUAGAAAUAUAUCGGCUGGCCAGCCCAAUGCACCAAAGAUGAUGUUUCAGUGCACACCCUUGAUACAGCAACUGCUAGCAGAUAUUCACCACCAAGAGAACUACCAUGAUGUCUGGGCGAAGAUAGAGGGUUUUGUCAGCAAACUGGAUGAGUUCAUCUGUUGGCUGAGAGAUGCUCUAGAAACCACAGACAACUGGACGCCACCCAGAGCUGAUAUCGACAGCCUCAAACUCUACCUGGAAACUCACCUUAGUUUCAAACUCAACGUGGACAGUCACAGUGCCCUUAAAGACAGUCUCCUGGAAGAAGGACGGCAGCUCCUGGAGCUCAUCACCUCCCACAAAUCAGGACUGCGGGACAUGCUCCACAUGAUAUCUCACCAGUGGCAGGAGCUGCAGAGACAGAUCCGCCGUCAGCACAACUGGAUGCUGCGCACGCUGGACGCCAUCAAAACCCACAUCCUGUCCAGCGAGAGGGACGAGGAGGAGCGGGAAUCUCACAGUCAUCACGGCAGCCCCAAGGUGGAGGUCCAACAGAGCCAUCGAGAGGCCCAGAAAGAUGUUCUGGAUCAGAUGAGAGUGAAACUUAAAAGUCAACAGUUCUGCUCCAACAGCAGAAGCGUCGACUUCACCCUGAUGUCCAAGUCUAACAGCCUGUCAGAGUUUGAGGCAGAGUAUCAGGAGCUCUGGGAUUGGCUGAUGGACAUGGAAUCCAUAGUGACGGACAGCCAUGAUCUGAUGAUGUCAGAGGAACAGAGGCAUCACCUGUAUAAGGGGAACAGUGUUGAGAUGUCCAUGUGGCUUCCUAAGAAGACGCAGCUUCUGGGUUGGUCUGAAUCUCUGAAGAGGAGCGGCACUGAACUUCCUGCUGACUUUGACCAGCGGCUGACGGCCCUCAGGAGCAAAUGGGAUCAACUCGAGAAAAUCCUGGCGGAGCAUGUGGAGCCCAGUGUGGGCCAGCGGAGUCAGCGUGAACUUCUGUCUCCAGACACCAAUAGGAUGGUGACCCAGCUGGAGAGCCGGAUAAAGGAGUUAAAGAGCUGGCUCAGAGACACUGAGCUCUUCAUCUUCAAUCUGAAUCUCAGACCAGACAGGACUGACCUGCUCCUGUCUCUGCAGGCUCUGUGUAUGGAGGUGCGGGGCAGACGGAAGGGCAUUUCCUCCGUGCUGAGGCUCUGUCAGAGGCUGCUGGAUGGGCCUGAACAUCAGAGCUCAGAGGCAGAGCGCCAGUCACUGCAGCUGCUGCAGGUCAACCUGGAGAGACGAUGGGAGGCCAUCGUCAUGCAGGUCCUUCAGUGGCAGACCAGACUGAAACGCUCGCUGGGCAGAGACCAGGUCCCUGAGAACCUCAUUGAGCCUUCUCUCAUGGACCUCCAUGGCCAGACGGAAGACUCUUGGGAGUGGGAUGAGAUGGACAUGACCAUCUGCGAUCUGGAUAGACAGGACUGUGAAGAUGAGGAAAACCCUGGAUCUAAGUCCCAGCUUAAUUCCCCAAAGGAGCCUUUAAGUCUCACCGAGUCAUUCCCAAAUGACACACGGUGCGAAGCAGCCUUGAAUUCGGCAGAAUUGAAUGCCUCUUCUUCUCGUGUGUAUCAGGUGUACAGUCUGCCUUAUGUUGAACUCUACCAACAACCCCAGUAUAAUCACAAAUCAUCCUCAACCAAAUCCCAACAGUCACUGUUGAAGCGCCAGAGCAUGGAUUCCUCCUUCUCCUCAGCUGAAUCCUUACCUGACAUCCUGGGAGACCUGUUGAAGGGGAAGCAGGAGCUGCUAUCAGAUUCAGCCAGGAGAUCCGAGAGUGAAAGUGGGAUAGUCAGUGAAGGGGACAUGGAGACCACAGGUAACUCUGAGGUUUGCCUGCCGUUCCAGAGUGAUGAUCCGAAAGUUUGUGUUACUCUCACCCUUCCUACCGGAGAAGAUUCACUUAAUGGAGACAGAGUCUCUGAUGAAGACAUAGAUAGAGUUUUGGAGCGUGCCAACAAGUGUGCAGAAUAUGGUGACAGUCUUACCAUUGGGCAGAGAGACCAGCAAUGGCAUAUCAUGAAAAAGAAGAAAGAGGAUAGUGGAGAAAGCAAAAGGAAACACCACAAGGAACCAGCGAAGAUUCAUGCCAACGGCUUUGGGCUAAGCCAAGAGGCUAACGACAAAUAUCUCAACAUGAGCGGAGACAAAGAUAGGGUGACUACACACCGAAAGCUCGAAAAGGAGUUUGCUCAGCUCUCCCAGGGGUCUUCCCUUGACUCUCUUUUCACCGGAGGAGAGUUAUUCCCAUCGAACAAAGAGGCACUGACUCGUAGCACUUCCCUGGAAAGUUGGCUUGCUCCAUGUAAAAGCGCAGAAGAUGUGGGGAGUAAGGAAAGUCUGAGGGACAAUGAAUCAACUGUGGAGUCCACGGGGGAACUCAGCAGAAGAACUCUGGAACUUCUAAAACGCCUUGAGAACAUCCAAAGCCCUCUUGCAAUGAAGAUGACACGUAGCGUCUCUGACGUAACGCUCCAGAGCAGCUCACUGUGGCGUGGGUCACGCUCGGCUGGUGCUCCCUCCUCCAUUAACGAGAGCUCGGCAGCCUCGCUGACAGAGUUGAGCAGCACUGAGGACUCGUCCGUGGCAUCCGAGGACCUAGCUGUGCAAAUGAACCGCUGCGUGGCUGCUGAGUCCAAUGCAUCCUUCCGUAAACAAACCGACGAGACCGACGCAAGCAUCAGUAUGGUCGUCAAUGUUUCCUGCACUUCAGCCUGUACUGAUGAUGAGGAUGACAGUGAUCUUCUCUCCAGCUCCACUCUGACGCUUACUGAAGAAGAGCUCGGUAUUAAAGACGAUGACUCUAGUGUAACCUCAGAGGAGGAGUACAUUGAAGGUUCCCUUGCUCUUGGGCUGGAUUAUAUAAAGGGUGAGUUUCAAAGCUGGAUGAAGCCUAGAUCUCAGAAUAAAGAGAAAAAUGAGGCAGAUCUAGUGGAUGAACUGCAGUGUGGCACCAUGUCUAAAGACACCCUGUCACCCGUUAAGACCGCCAACGAUCGUAACUUUCUCAGCCGGUCUGCACUGAAACUCUUAGAAACCAACACUAAUGGGAAAAACAAGAGCCUCAAGCAACAGGAGGUGGAUGGCAACCGCAGGGAUGCUACCAGGAGCUAUAUCACCCGCUUUGUGGAUGACAUGGAGAACGGCAAUGUCGAAAGCACUCACAUUGAAGGGAAAGAUGAAGACGAUGAUGAUAUGGUGGCCGCCAACUCACCAUCCUCAUGCGAACAGUUGAGCUUGAGCUCCCUGGAAGGGCAGUUGAAAGGCGAGUUGCCCUGUCACAAUUCCCACUGUCCCUCCUCCUCCAUAUCUCCCAUAGACGAGUGUUCAGGGUUAUCUGCACACACUCACAGCCGACAGAAGCAACUCGCCGCCUUUCUGAAUGAUGUCCACGAGAACCAUCAAGAAAGCUCUUCAGAUAGCUGCAAAGACCCUGCUUUCAUCUCUGAAGAGGCCAAGAGUGACAGUGUCCAUGACUUUGUGAUGGAGAUCAUUGACAUGACAUCUGUGGCCCUGAAGACCAAAGAGGCACAGGCAGAGCAGCCUAGGGAGGUUUGUAGCCCAACGUCUGUAUCUCAGAUCAGAGAGAAGGUCCUCGAGCACUCCCAUCGGCUUAUCCAUUUGCGCAAGGGAGACUUCUACUCCUAUCUGUCCCUGUCCUCGCAUGAUAGCGACUGUGGAGAGGUCAGCACCUGCGCGGAGGACAAGAGCAGCACCCCGAUUCUUUCGAGUACGCCAGAUCUCCAUGACGAAGAACCGCUCUUUGAGGCCUGCACCGAGGAAGUGUACCUGGGCCCUCCUCUCUGUUACAGCAUGUCCAUUAGCAAACGGCCCACGAGGCAAGCCACCAAACAAAUAAAGCCGGCCAUCCUCCUGAGCCCAGCACCUUCAUUGGGCUGCGAUGAAUUCCAAAAAGCACAUGGUAUUUCUCAAGCAAGUGUAGCUGGUAGCCAGCCAGAGUGCCAUAAUGAGGCGCCUUAUCUUAAUCCUUUACCAUGUGAAACCCCGAUAGAUACUGUUGAAUGUUUUGCAGAUACUAAAAUGCUUGAAUCCAAUAUUUCCCCUGUAAUGACUAAGAUAAGAGUCUCUUGCUCCACUACAAAUCCUUUAAAAGAGGAUGGCAGCCUUUAUAUUAAUCCCAAAAUUAACUGUCCGCUGAUAAGGAAGACUGAUAGCGAUGAAAGGGCUCUUGCUUCACAGUUGAUGAAACAGAAGAAUGUCGGGAAGGGGUGCCGCUCUCUACAGGAAUCCAAGUCGACUCAUAAACAGGUGUGUUUCGACGUAACACCGUGCUCUAUCUGCUUGUAA
ensembl:lncRNA